rnacentral:rRNA from 1 species
UACGAAGGGGGCUAGCGUUGCUCGGAAUGACUGGGCGUAAAGGGCGCGUAGGCGGUUUGUCCGGUCAGGCGUGAAAUUCCUGGGCUUAACCUGGGGGCUGCGCUUGAUACAGGCAGACUUGAGUGUGGAAGAGGGUCGUGGAAUUCCCAGUGUAGAGGUGAAAUUCGUAGAUAUUGGGAAGAACACCGGUGGCGAAGGCGGCGACCUGGUCCAUUACUGACGCUGAGGCGCGAAAGCGUGGGGAG